AACGAACGCUGGCGGCAUGCCUAACACAUGCAAGUCGAACGAGACCUUCGGGUCUAGUGUCGCACGGGUGCGUAACGCGUGGGAACCUGCCCUUAGGGCCGGAAUAACUCCCCGAAAGGGGUGCUAAUACCGGAUAAUGUCUUCGGACCAAAGAUUUAUCGCCUUUGGAUGGACCCGCGUUGGAUUAGCUAGUUGGUAGGGUAAAAGCCUACCAAGGCGACGAUCCAUAGCUUGUCUGAGAGGAUGGUCAGCCACACUGGGACUGAGACACGGCCCAGACUCCUACGGGAGGCAGCAGUGGGGAAUAUUGGACAAUGGGCGAAAGCCUGAUCCAGCAAUGCCGCGUGAGUGAUGAAGGCCUUAGGGUUGUAAAGCUCUUUUACCCGGGAUGAUAAUGACAGUACCGGGAGAAUAAGCUCCGGCUAACUCCGUG
rnacentral:rRNA from 1 species